CCCGCUGAACUUAAGCAUAUCAAUAAGCGGAGGAAAAAGAAACUAACAAGGAUUCCCCUAGUAACUGCGAGUGAAGCGGGAAGAGCUCAAAUUUGAAAUCUGGUGGUCCUCGACCGUCCGAGUUGUAAUCUAGAGAAGUGUUACCUGUGCUGGACCAUGUACAAGUCUUCUGGAAUGGAGCAUCAUAGAGGGUGAGAAUCCCGUCUUUGACAUGGACUGCCGGUGCGUUGUGGUAUGCUCUCAAAGAGUCGAGUUGUUUGGGAAUGCAGCUCAAAAUGGGUGGUAAAUUCCAUCUAAAGCUAAAUACAGGCGAAAGACCGAUAGCGAACAAGUACCGUGAGGGAAAGAUGAAAAGCACUUUGGAAAGAGAGUUAAACAGUACGUGAAAUUGUUGAAAGGGAAACGCUUGAAGUCAGUCGCGUCUUCAGAAAUUCAGCCUGGCUUCUGCCUGGUGUACUUCUCUGUUGGACGGGUCAGCAUCAAUUUCGCCUGUCAGAUAAAGGUGAGAGGAAGGUCGCUCCUCUGGGUGAGAGACACCCUUCCCUCGCAAGUGGCGGCUGGGAGUGACGCACCCAGCGCCCCUCUAAUGCCCGGGGUUCGCCCACGAAACGUGCUUAGGAUGCUGGCGUAAUGGCUUUAAACGACCCGUCUUGAAACACGG
rnacentral:rRNA from 1 species